rnacentral:rRNA from 1 species
GAAAGCGAAUAAGGGCGCAUGGGGGAUGCCUUGGCUCUCAGAGGCGAUGAAGGGCGUGGUAAGCUGCGAAAAGCUUCGGAUAGGCGCGAACGGCCGUUAGACCCGAAGAUACCCGAAUGGGGCAACCCGUUCAGUUGAAGACUGAACAUCCAAAAGGAGGCAAACCCGGGGAACUGAAACAUCUAAGUACCCGGAGGAAGAGAAAACAACAGUGAUUCCCAAAGUAGUGGCGAGCGAACUGGGAAGAGCCCAAACCUAUGUGCUUAGCACAUGGGGGUUAUAGGACCUGACAAAAACUUAGCAGAAGGAAGUGGAACUAUCUGGGAAGGUAGGACGUAGAGGGUGAAAUCCCCGUACACGAAACAGCAGCUAAGGGGUUAGGCACCUGAGUAGCGCGAAGCUGGUGAAACUUUGCGUGAAAUUGCCGGCACCAUCCGGUAAGGCUAAAUACUCCUGAGAGACCGAUAGAGAAAAGUACCGUGAGGGAAAGGUGAAAAGGACCCCGCACAGGGGAGUGCAAAGAACCUGAAACCAUGCGCCUACAAGCGGUCGGAGCCUGUAAAAGGGUGACGGCGUGCCUUUUGCAUAAUGAGCCUACGAGUUACUGUUCACCGGCAAGGUUAAGUUACAGGGAGUAACGGAGCCGUAGCGAAAGCGAGUCUGAAAAGGGCGGAUAAGUCGGUGGACGUAGACGCGAAACCUGCGUGAUCUACACAUGGCCAGGAUGAAGUUUCGGUAAAGCGAAAUGGAGGUCCGAACUGAUUAGCGUUGAAAAGCUACCGGAUGAGCUGUGUGUAGGGGUGAAAGGCCAAUCAAACUGGGAGAUAGCUCGUACUCCCCGAAAUGCCUUUAGGGGCAGCCUUGAAGUAAAGUGUUGCAGAGGUAGAGCUACCAAUUGGGCUAGGGGGCUUCACCGCCUACCAAACCCUGAUGAACUCCGAAUGCUGCAACAUAUAUUCAGGAGUGAGGCACAGGGUGCUAAGGUCAUGUGCCGAGAGGGAAAGAACCCAGACCAUCAGCUAAGGUCUCUAAAUGUGUGCUAAGUUGAAAAAACGAUGUGAGACUGCCUUGACAGCUAGGAUGUUGGCUUGGAAGCAGCCAUUCAUUUAAAGAGUGCGUAACAGCUCACUAGUCGAGUGGUUUUGCGCGGAAAAUAAUCGGGCAUCAAGCACACUACCGAAGCUAUGGGAGUAGCGAUACUCGGUAGGGGAGCAUUCUGACUGCGGCGAAGGUGUGCUGUGAGGCAUGUUGGAGCGGUUAGAAAAGCAAAUGUAGGCAUAAGUAGCGAUAAAGCAGGUGAGAAACCUGCUCACCGAAAGACUAAGGUUUCCUGAUCAACGUUAAUCGGGUCAGGGUUAGUCGGGACCUAAGGCGCACCCGCGAGGGGAAGUCGAUGGAAAACGGAUUAAUAUUUCCGUACCGGCUUAUACUGCGAUGUGGGGACGGAGAGGCGUAGCAACUGCGUACUGACGGAAUAGUACGUUAAAGACGGUAGGCUGUGAGAUCUGUAGGCAAAUCCGCAGAUUGAGCUGAGAGUUGACAGUACCGCGAGUUUUCGGACAAGCGGAAAAUGUUGUGAAGCGUGCUUCCAAGAAAAGCCACUAAGCUACAGGUAUAAGGCGCCCGUACCGUAAACCGACACAGGUAGUCGAGGAGAAAAUCCUAAGGUGCUCGAGUGAAUCACGGCUAAGGAACUCGGCAAAAUGGUCUCGUAACUUCGGGAGAAGAGACGCCUACCCAAGCAAUUGGGAGGCCGCAGAGAAUAGGUCCAGGCGACUGUUUAGCAAAAACACAGGACACUGCAAAGCCGGAAGGCGCAGUAUAGUGUCUGACACCUGCCCGGUGCCGGAAGGUUAAGGAAGGGGGUUAGCAGCAAUGCGAAGCUCUUGACUGAAGCCCCGGUAAACGGCGGCCGUAACUAUAACGGUCCUAAGGUAGCGAAAUUCCUUGUCGG